rnacentral:lncRNA from 1 species
CAGUGUGGUAUUUUUUUAUUUCCUUUGUUGGGUAAGACCCAAUGUGAGAUUCACGUGCGAGAGCAACGACUUCCGAGAAAACCAACCCAACACAUCUACCGUCGUUGCGAGCAAUUGUUUAGAGAAAUCUGUGGCCAUGACUCCGUUAUGCACAUUAUUUCCGAUACGAGCUGCUAGACCUUAUU